AGAUUGAACGCUGGCGGCAUGCCUUACACAUGCAAGUCGAACGGCAGCACGGGAGCAAUCCUGGUGGCGAGUGGCGAACGGGUGAGUAAUAUAUCGGAACGUGCCCAGUCGUGGGGGAUAACGCAGCGAAAGCUGUGCUAAUACCGCAUACGAUCUAUGGAUGAAAGCGGGGGAUCGCAAGACCUCGCGCGAUUGGAGCGGCCGAUAUCAGAUUAGCUAGUUGGUGGGGUAAAGCCUA
rnacentral:rRNA from 1 species